GCACAGAAUCGUGUUUGGAUCUCUGCUUCACUCUCUUGCACCAACUAUGCAGUGAUUCUCUAACGCUUUCUGCUACCACCGCCUUCUUCCAGCGAGAUCCCAUCUGGCGUGAUUUGUCAGAGAAAAUUCAAUCAUUGAAAUCAGGAAGCAAGUUAGACACCGGUGCAAAAUUCAGUUAUCCAAGAAGAUGAGCAAAUUGGUGAUUGUAUUCUAUGAAGGUAACUGAGUCUAACCCUAUUCCCAAACUACUUAUGAUGUAAUUAAGUAGGUUUCUUUAAGAGAAGCAAAAUAUGAAGACAAAAAGCCACAAGGUAUGUUUUAUUUUGUUAUAAUCCAUUAAAAAAUUAGAACAAAAAGAAAAUAUCCUUAACAAAUUAGAUACUUACGGUGAAGAAACCCUGACGAAGUGCAAGGUAGUCAGAUUUUUGUAUAGAACUCCGAAAUUGGCGCAGGAAACAAAGCUGCAAGAUCAAACUACAAAUUACCAACAGUUUAAAACAAGCCAGAACCUGUAUAAGGCUGAUAUUUAGCAAAAAGUAGCUGCAAAAAUUCUUCCAGCGCAGUAGGCUUUCACUAAGUUGGCACUCUUUGAAAAUUAUUACUUUUCAAGCCGACGUAUCUGAUUCCAGUACCAUAAAGAUUAUUUACUAAUUAAACAAUGCUCAUCAUCUAGUUGUUAGCAUAGUUUAAAAGUUUGCAGGUGAUCAUGAUUGAGAAUAUGUAUACUUCAUAUUUGAUGAUACAUUACCAUCCAGAUUAGUGUUGGACUCCUGCUCCAUGGAUGAGAAGUGUGAUGGAAAACAAAGGUUGUUUGUCUCCUCAUCACCUUGUUUUUCUUUUCUGUGAAACAGAAUCAAUAAAAAAUAAGGGCAGUUUUUCAGACAGGCAAUUCAUUAUAUGGAUGAUAAUUGCAUCAGAAAGAGAAGCAUUGGAACACCGUGUCUGAAAAGGCAGUGCUUGAACUGUUUGUUGUUUGAGAAAGAACCUAAAUCGCAGCAGAUAAUGUUGGACACUUGGACUGACAAUACAAAAUAUUAUGAUCUUAAUUUGCUUCGAGGAUGUAUAAUGGGAAUGCCUCAGGAAUGUUACCAUGUCAA